AUUGAACGCUGGCGGCAUGCUUUACACAUGCAAGUCGAACGGCAGCACGGGCUUCGGCCUGGUGGCGUGUGGCGAACGGGUGAGUAAUGCAUCGGAACGUACCGUGUAGUGGGGGAUAACGUAGCGAAAGUUACGCUAAUACCGCAUACGCCCCGAGGGGGAAAGUGGGGGACCGCAAGGCCUCACGCAAACUGAGCGGCCGAUGUCGGAUUAGCUGGUUGGUAGGGAAAAGGCCUACCAAGGCGACGAUCCGUAGCGGGUCUGAGAGGAUGGUCCGCCACACUGGGACUGGGACACGGCCCAGACUCCUACGGGAGGCAGCAGUGGGGAAUUUUGGACAAUGGGCGCAAGCCUGAUCCAGCCAAGCCGCGUGAGUGAAGAAGGCCUUCGGGUUGUAAAGCUCUUUCAGACGGAAAGAAAUCUCUCAGGAUAAUACCUUGGGAGGAUGACGGUACCGUAAGAAGAAGCACCGGCUAACUACGUGCCAGCAGCCGCCGUAAGAC
rnacentral:rRNA from 1 species